rnacentral:rRNA from 1 species
AUUGAACGCUGGCGGCAUGCCUUACACAUGCAAGUCGAACGGUAACAGGUCUUCGGAUGCUGACGAGUGGCGAACGAGUGAGUAAUACAUCGGAACGUGCCUAGUAGUGGGGGAUAACUACUCGAAAGAGUGGCUAAUACCGCAUGAGAUCUACGGAUGAAAGCAGGGGAUCGCAAGACCUUGUGCUACUAGAGCGGCCGAUGGCAGAUUAGGUAGUUGGUGGGAUAAAAGCUUACCAAGCCGACGAUCUGUAGCUGGUCUGAGAGGACGAUCAGCCACACUGGGACUGAGACACGGCCCAGACUCCUACGGGAGGCAGCAGUGGGGAAUUUUGGACGAUGGGCGAAAGCCUGAUCCAGCAAUGCCGCGUGCAGGAUGAAGGCCUUCGGGUUGUAAACUGCUUUUGUACGGAACGAAAAGCCCUGGGUUAAUACCCUGGGGUCAUGACGGUACCGUAAGAAUAAGCACCGGCUAACUACGUGCCAGCCGCCGCCGUAA